AGGACCUGGGCGGGAGGAGGGGCCGGUCUCAUCACCUCUGCCCCGCAGGCCGCACUGGAGCCGCAGCCUCCCGUGAGCUCCCUGCCGGCUGACUGUGGGUGCUCGGCCGGCGGCUGCUGUGGCGGCAGGCACGGCCGCUCCUGCAGCGAGGCAAGCGGCUCCCCUACCUUCACCCACACCUUCCACCCAGCCCUCCUCACAUCCACAGCUGAGCCCCACCGGCGGGCCCACAGGGCUGGACGGCCGCCUGGGAGGUCAGCAGGACACGUGCGGAUCUCCCCCAGCGGCGUCAAACCCAGCCUCGCGGUGCCUAUCGGCAGAGCAGCCUUGGUGACCACCACACAGGACCAUGGCUUCGCAGGGCCCCACGCCUAGAUGCUGUCCAAACAGCGACGCCUCCCCGCCUGCAGGCCCAGGCCCAGCGCAGGUGGCCCGGGAGGCCGCGGCGGGGACAGACCUCCAGCGCGAUGAAGCUCUGCACGAUGUUGGUUCGGUCCAGGCAGUCCAGACAGUUCAUCCGCAAAGUACCUUUCUGGAAACUUCAGACAAGAACAAGUGCACACAGUUAUGGGCCGUGCUCAGAGGGGCAGUGCCCGCCCAUUCCCAGAGACACCUGUUCUGGUCGAGAACUCUCCCCACCUGCAGCCAGGCAGGACCCCGGCCCACAGCCCGAGGGGUCACCGGCACGGCUGGAGUGGCAGACACCAUAUCAAGGGGCCAGUACUAUGGCGAAGAGGAUUAAGCCACCGUGUCAGAGGGCCUGUUUUAGUUCUGGCAGCUCUGCUCCCGAUCCAGCUCCCUGCCAACGCCCCUGGGAAAGCAGUGGAAGGAGGCCCGAGUACGUGGGCCCCUGCCAUCAUGGGGGAUACCCGGAUGUAGUCCUGGCUCUUGACUUCAGCGUGGC